rnacentral:rRNA from 1 species
UACAGAGGUCCCAAGCGUUGUUCGGAUUCACUGGGCGUAAAGGGUGCGUAGGCGGUUGGGUAAGGCUGUCGUGAAAUCUCCGAGCCUAACUCGGAAACUGCGUCGGAUACUAUUCAACUCGAGGAAUGGAGGGGAGACUGGAAUUCUCGGUGUAGCAGUGAAAUGCGUAGAUAUCGAGAGGAACACCAGUGGCGAAGGCGAGUCUCUGGACAUUUCCUGACGCUGAGGCACGAAAGCCAGGGGAGCAAACGGG